GAGAAUUAAUGCUGAAUUAAUGCUAUUGUGUACUAAUUUUUUAUUUUUGGUCAAAGAUAGAUUUCAUUAUAUAAUAGAAGAAGUGCACAACCCAAACUCUAGGGUUUCUGAUGCGUGGGCUUUGGGAGCUUGGGUUGUUUGAUAGGGAUUCAUUUUUGUACUUGGGUCUUGGGCUAUGUACUGAUAUAAUUUAUUAUCUAAUGGAAUCUAUUUUUGACAAAAAAAAAGAGUAGAAAAAUGUAUUUUUUUUAAGUUCUAUUGUCAGUACAUCAUCACCAACACUCA
rnacentral:misc_RNA from 1 species